GACGAACCGUGCAAACGUUGUUCGGAAUCACUGGGCUUAAAGGGCGCGUAGGCGGCUUGCAUAGUCGGUGGUGAAAUCCUGCAGCCUAACUGUAGAAGUGCCUCCGAUACUAGCAAGCUCGAGGGAGGUAGGGGUCUGCGGAACUUCUGGUGGAGCGGUGAAAUGCGUUGAUAUCAGAAGGAACGCCGGUGGCGAAAGCGGCGGACUGGACCUCUUCUGACGCUGAGGCGCGAAAGCUAGGGGAGCAAACGGG
rnacentral:rRNA from 1 species